UACGUAGGUGGCAAGCGUUGUCCGGAUUUACUGGGCGUAAAGAGCGCGCAGGCGGUCGUUCAAGUCGCGUGUGAAAGCCCCCGGCUCAACUGGGGAGGGUCACGCGAUACUGAUCGACUGGAAGGCAGGAGAGGGUAGUGGAAUUCCCGGUGUAGCAGUGAAAUGCGUAGAGAUCGGGAGGAACACCAGUGGCGAAGGCGGCUACCUGGACCAGCACUGACACUGAGGCACGAAAGCGUGGGGAGCAAACAGG
rnacentral:rRNA from 1 species